UCGAGAAUUUUUCACAAUGGGGGAAACCCUGAUGGAGCGACGCCGCGUGGGGGAUGAAGGGCUUCGGUCCGUAAACCCCUGUCAUUUGCGAACAAACCUUGUUCAAUAACACUGGACAGGCUGAUUGUAGCGAAAGAGGAAGGGACGGCUAACUCUGUGCCAGCAGCCGCGGUAAUACAGAGGUCCCAAGCGUUGUUCGGAUUCACUGGGCGUAAAGGGUGCGUAGGUGGUUGGGCAAGUCUGAUGUGAAAUCUCCGGGCUUAACCCGGAAAUGGCAUUGGAAACUGCCCGGCUAGAGUGUUGGAGGGGGGACUGGAAUUCUCGGUGUAGCAGUGAAAUGCGUAGAUAUCGAGAGGAACACCAGUGGCGAAGGCGAGUCCCUGGACAACUACUGACACUGAGGCACGAAAGCUAGGGGAGCAAACAG
rnacentral:rRNA from 1 species